UGUCAGCUUUAGGAGGGGGAAAAAAAACUUGUUCAAUUAAAUAUUUCAUAACUAGUACAAAUCCUGGAUUUCCAGUAAGUAUUUCUAACUGAUAAUUUGUAGCCCUGUUGCUCGUAACACAAAAUAAGUCUAUAAACUGUAUUGGAAAUUAUCACAUAUACUUUUUAGGAAAGUGAAAAAGGUACAUCAUAUAUUGGAUUUCAGCAACAAAAACCAGCAUAAUAUUUUUAAUAACUAUCCACAUAGAAAACACACACUAGGAAAUUCUGACUUAGAGGAGAUUGAAAAUCCUAGAUAUUUUUCACAAUCAGUGUAAAUUAUUAGCAGUUCCACUGAAGUCAAUAGUUAAAACAUCACAUGAUCAGAAUCAGUCUUAUUUGGAAUUUUAAGAGGCUACACCCCCCCUCAGAUUUUUGCUGCAUUUGAAAAUAGUGCAAAUCAAAGGAAACGAAGAAGUAAAGUUACUAAUAGUACUGAACUUAUAGAAUCCAAAACAAGCAUUAUAAACUGACUGUAAUCUUGAAAGCAAAUGUGUAAACUUAAGUAAGAUCUCAAGUUAAAACAAGAUCAAAUAAUGUUAGAUAUUAAUUAUUCUUUUUAAUGUCUUCAUAAGAACAGUACAACAACUAAUGAAAAAAUCCUGAAAAGAUUCUCUGUUUCAAAAGUGAUAGUGAAUGAAUUUCAAAUAAAGAGCAGGCAAAUGAAAAAAAUCAAAGUUUGUAUCUAACAGUGACGGGAAGAGCGGAUGAAAUACGGUCUUUUGUUCUCUUCUUGAAUAAAAUACACUUACUUUAGGGCCAAACUAUUCCCACAGUUACAUGCACACAACUCUGAUUUCAAUGGAAGCUGCUUGUGAAUAUCUGAUGGCAGAAUCUAACCUCACCUAUCCUGACUUAUAGAUUCUUUGAGGCAGACAUUAAAAUUGGCCAUGGGGAAACACAGAGGAGAAAAAAACAAAUCCACACCAUUCAAAAUUAUAAGCAAGUUUUAAGACCUAAAUAAGAUCUAUUUGAAAACCUGCAAAAAAGUACCCUGGCUAGGGCAGAAUGGGGAGUACCCUAGCAUGGAGUCCCAUUAACACAUUAAUAGGAUUCUCUCCUAUGUAGACCCCUUUGCAAGACUGAAGUAUUUAUUAGUAGUGAGAGUUUUUCAUUUUCUAGUUAAAGAAGAGAUAAAUGGAUUUUGCAAUAAUAUUCUUACCACCAAAAAAAAAAAAAAAAAAGCAGUGGAGCAGAAUGUUAUCACAGGACAAAAUGUCUUUUACUAUUAGAUAAAGGCAGAACAGUACAGCCAUGGAAUUUAUUAAAAUGCCAUUGAAACAAGGACAAAAAGUUUAUUUACAAAACAUCAAACAAUUAUCAAACAUCAUCUUGUUCCAGUGGAUGGAGAUUAUAUAUAUAAGCGCAAGUGAUUUUCUUUAAUUCUGCCAGAAUGUUACAGACUUGGUUUAAUUACUACAGCUAUUUUAACUGAUAAAACUAUUCAUUAAAUAUUUUUGUUAGUAGGUUUCUGAAUGACAGACAAGUCUUUAGUGGGGUUUUUUGUCUUAAAAGCACCACUAAAG